GAAUCAUCAGAUAAGAUAAAAAGUGGCUACAAGAAGUCUAAAAAUGUGGUAAUUAAAUUUACAUUUCAGGAGAAAGAGGGAGAGCUGAGACUGGAAAAUCUCAUCAAUAAAAUAGAAUACAAAAAGGAACAGCUCCUGCAGAAUUCAGAAGAAAAAGAUGCUAAGGAAAGGGAUAAAAAGCUUUUCAAGACAGAAUCAAAGAUUGCUCACAGGAAGACCAAUGAUACUGGAUAAUCUUCAUUACAGCAUUUACGAUGCUGUGGACUCACACUUGAUAAUUUAUCCACUGGCAAGCUCUACCAUAAGAUCCUUGAGAAUAAUGACAUGCUUUUGA
rnacentral:lncRNA from 1 species